rnacentral:rRNA from 1 species
UACGGGGGGGGCAAACGUUGUUCGGAAUUACUGGGCGUAAAGGGCUCGUAGGCGGCCAACUAAGUCAGACGUGAAAUCCCUCGGCUUAACCGGGGAACUGCGUCUGAUACUGGAUGGCUGGAGGUUGGGAGAGGGAUGCGGAAUUCCAGGUGUAGCGGUGAAAUGCGUAGAUAUCUGGAGGAACACCGGUGGCGAAGGCGGCAUCCUGGACCAAUUCUGACGCUGAGGAGCGAAAGCCAGGGGAGCAAACGGG